rnacentral:rRNA from 1 species
CCCGCAACGAGCGCAACCCUGCAUUCAGUUGCCAACGGUAAGGCCGGGCACUCUGGAUGGACUGCCGGCGACAAGCCGGAGGAAGGUGGGGAUGACGUCAAGUCAUCAUGGCCCUUAUGUCCAGGGCGACACACGUGCUACAAUGGCCGGCACAGCGGGAAGCGAGGGGGCGACCUUGAGCGGAUCCCUCAAAGCCGGUCUCAGUUCGGAUUGCAGUCCGCAACUCGACUGCAUGAAGUUGGAAUCGCUAGUAAUCGUGGAUCAGCCAAGCCGCGGUGAAUACGUUCCCGGGCCUU